CAGUAGCCACGGUAAUACAGAGGGUGCGAGCGUUAAUCGGAUUUACUGGGCGUAAAGCGUGCGUAGGCGGCUUUUUAAGUCGGAUGUGAAAUCCCUGAGCUUAACUUAGGAAUUGCAUUCGAUACUGGGAAGCUAGAGUAUGGGAGAGGAUGGUAGAAUUCCAGGUGUAGCGGUGAAAUGCGUAGAGAUCUGGAGGAAUACCGAUGGCGAAGGCAGCCAUCUGGCCUAAUACUGACGCUGAGGUACGAAAGCAUGGGGAGCAAACAGGAUUAGAUACCCGAGUAGUCCCUGUCUCUUAUAC
rnacentral:rRNA from 1 species